UACGUAGGUGGCAAGCGUUGUCCGGAUUUACUGGGCGUAAAGAGCGCGCAGGCGGUCGUUCAAGUCGCGUGUGAAAGCCCCCGGCUCAACUGGGGAGGGUCACGCGAUACUGAUCGACUCGAAGGCAGGAGAGGGUAGUGGAAUUCCCGGUGUAGUGGUGAAAUUCGUAGAUAUUCGGAAGAACACCAGUGGCGAAGGCGACUUACUGGACACGUAUUGACGCUGAGGUGCGAAAGCGUGGGGAGCAAACAAG
rnacentral:rRNA from 1 species